rnacentral:SRP_RNA from 2 species
UGGUCCUCCCGCAACACUAACUCGUGAACUCGGUCAGGCCUGGAAGGGAGCAGCCGCAGCGGGCGACGUGUGUGCCGGGAUGUGGCUGG